rnacentral:rRNA from 1 species
AGUGAACGCUGGCGGUAGGCCUAACACAUGCAAGUCGAACGGCAGCACAGUAAGAGCUUGCUCUUACGGGUGGCGAGUGGCGGACGGGUGAGGAAUACAUCGGAAUCUACUUUUUCGUGGGGGAUAACGUAGGGAAACUUACGCUAAUACCGCAUACGACCUACGGGUGAAAGCAGGGGAUCUUCGGACCUUGCGCGAUUGAAUGAGCCGAUGUCGGAUUAGCUAGUUGGCGGGGUAAAGGCCCACCAAGGCGACGAUCCGUAGCUGGUCUGAGAGGAUGAUCAGCCACACUGGAACUGAGACACGGUCCAGCCUCCUACGGGAGGCAGCAGUGGGGAAUAUUGGACAAUGGGCGCAAGCCUGAUCCAGCCAUACCGCGUGGGUGAAGAAGGCCUUCGGGUUGUAAAGCCCUUUUGUUGGGAAAGAAAAGCAGCAGGUUAAUACCCCGAUGUUCUGACGGUACCUAAAGAAUAAGCACCGGCUAACUUCGUG